AGAGUUUGAUCCUGGCUCAGGACGAACGCUGGCGGCGCGCCUAACACAUGCAAGUCGAACGGAGCUGAGAGGAGCUUGCUUUUCUUAGCUUAGUGGCGAACGGGUGAGUAACGCGUGAGUAACCUGCCCUGGAGUGGGGGACAACAGUUGGAAACGACUGCUAAUACCGCAUAAGCCCACGAUCCGGCAUCGGAUUGAGGGAAAAGGAUUUAUUCGCUUCAGGAUGGACUCGCGUCCAAUUAGCUAGUUGGUGAGGUAACGGCCCACCAAGGCGACGAUUGGUAGCCGGACUGAGAGGUUGAACGGCCACAUUGGGACUGAGACACGGCCCAGACUCCUACGGGAGGCAGCAGUGGGGAAUAUUGCACAAUGGGGGAAACCCUGAUGCAGCGACGCCGCGUGGAGGAAGAAGGUUUUCGGAUUGUAAACUCCUGUCGUUAGGGACGAUAAUGACGGUACCUAACAAGAAAGCACCGGCUAACUACGUGCCAGCAGCCGCGGUAAAACGUAGGGUGCAAGCGUUGUCCGGAAUUACUGGGUGUAAAGGGAGCGCAGGCGGACCGGCAAGUUGGAAGUGAAAACUAUGGGCUCAACCCAUAAAUUGCUUUCAAAACUGCUGGCCUUGAGUAGUGCAGAGGUAGGUGGAAUUCCCGGUGUAGCGGUGGAAUGCGUAGAUAUCGGGAGGAACACCAGUGGCGAAGGCGACCUACUGGGCACCAACUGACGCUGAGGCUCGAAAGCAUGGGUAGCAAACAGGAUUAGAUACCCUGGUAGUCCAUGCCGUAAACGAUGAUUACUAGGUGUUGGAGGAUUGACCCCUUCAGUGCCGCAGUUAACACAAUAAGUAAUCCACCUGGGGAGUACGACCGCAAGGUUGAAACUCAAAGGAAUUGACGGGGGCCCGCACAAGCAGUGGAGUAU
rnacentral:rRNA from 1 species